CAGAGAUCUGGGGUGUCUCCACCAUGGCCUGGACCCCUUUCCUGCUCCCCCUCCUCACUCUCUGCUCAGGAUCUGUGGCCUCCUUUGUUUUGACUCAACCACCUGCGUUGUCUGUGGCCCUGGGACAGACAGUCAGCAUCACCUGCCAGGGAGGAGAAUUAGAAAUCUUUGGUGUUUACUGGUACCAGCAGAAGCCAGCCCAGCACCCGACACUGCUCAUGGAUUAUAUUGAUUUCCGGGCCUCAGGGGUCCCUGAGCGAUUCUCCGGCUCCCGCUCUGGUGGAACGGCCACCCUGACCAUCACUGGGGCCCAGGCUGAGGACGAGGCUGACUAUUACUGUCAGUCCAUGGACAGAAGUGAUUACACAACCACAGUGACACAGGCAGAUGGGGAAAGUCUGAGUGAGGCCCACAGCUGGGUAGAUUGA